UACAGAGGUCUCAAGCGUUGUUCGGAAUUAUUGGGCGUAAAGCGCGUGUAGGCGGCGUGGCAAGUCGGGUGUGAAAGCCCUCAGCUCAACUGAGGAAGUGCGCCCGAAACUGCUGUGCUUGAGUGCCGGAGAGGGUGGCGGAAUUCCCCAAGUAGAGGUGAAAUUCGUAGAUAUGGGGGAGGAACACCGGUGGCGAAGGCGGCCGACCUGGACGGUAACUGACGCUGAGACGCGAAAGCGUGGGGAGCAA
rnacentral:rRNA from 1 species